UACAGAGGUCCCAAGCGUUGUUCGGAUUCAUUGGGCGUAAAGGGUGCGUAGGCGGCGCGGUAAGUCGGGUGUGAAAUCUCGGGGCUUAACUCCGAAACUGCAUUCGAUACUGCCGUGCUUGAGGACUGGAGAGGAGACUGGAAUUUACGGUGUAGCGGUGAAAUGCGUAGAUAUCAGGAGGAACACCAAUGGCGAAGGCAGCACUCUGGGACGGUACUGACGCUGAGACGCGAAAGCGUGGGGAGCAAACAGG
rnacentral:rRNA from 1 species